rnacentral:rRNA from 1 species
GGUAGGAAGAAGGCACGGCAGAGGCAGAGUACCGUGCGUGCCGUAGAGGAGCCGGAGACGGAUCCCCUUUGUCCUCUCAACCAGCCGUCCCUCCACUCGCGGGGGGGAAGCAAAGCAAAUUACCCGCAUCGGCGGCGCCGGCGAUCCGCCCCUGCCUCUUCUUCCCCGCCGACUCGCUGCUGCCAAACCCCCCACCCCACCCGUAGUCCGACUCCGAGUCGCGCUACCACCUUCCUCCUCUUCCCCGACUCGACCGGCGCCGUGUUCAAAAGGCAAUCUAAUCCCCAAAUCCUGCCCUAGCCUGUUGCGUUGCGGCGAGCUCAACACCUCCAGAUCCAUGGCGCUCCCCACCUUGCCCUUCAAUCCCUCCACCCCGAUGGGCCCCGGGUUUCCCGACUCGGCCAUCAUCUGCAAGGUGGCGCGUGUAUCGGCGGACCGGAACGCGACCACCGCCGAGUGCCGCACCGAGGACGGCCAAGCCGUGGAGGUGUCCUUCUGGCUCGUCGACCCGCCGGGCAUCUCCUACUUCUCCGUCAACUGCCCCGGCAUGAAGCACCAGUACCACGCCUGGCUCAUCUGCGCCGAGGACGCCUUCGUCCUCUUCAGCCUCAAGUUCUGGGGCCCCGCCCGCUUCUUCGUCUACACGGCCGGGAAGCAGUCCCUGCGGCUGCUCCCAAACCCCAACCAUCCCUACUUCGGCGGGCAGCAGUUUGGCCUCCUGCCCCGUGGCGACGCCGACGGCGAGCACUAUGCCGUGGCCUUCCUCGACGUCAAGUGGACUAUCCGAGACGAUUUUUGUCGGUUUGAUGCCUAUGUCUUCUCGUCUGAAACACAGGCAUGGACGACCAGGAAGGCCUGCCUAUCAGACCCUGCUGACAAGCCAUUGUGUUGUCGACAUGCCUUGUUCAAGCAGAUCAGGGUUGGAGCAAGCGCGCUGGGCUGGGUUGAUACCUUCCAUGGAAUUCUCCUUCUUGACCACCUGUUUGGCAGGCAUCCUGUCAUCAGAAUAAUCCCGUUACCCGUGGCAACCGUCGGCUUGCCCGAGCCAACCAAACCGGAGGACAAUUACUGUGCCCCUGAGUAUUUUUACAAUGUUGCCUGCUGCGAUGAUCUCAUCAAAUUCGUCCACAUCGAAUACGAUGACCCUGAUGCCAUGACCAGAGGUUCAGGUUGGAAAGCCACAAUGUGGAAUAUGAAGGUCUCUGAGGGAAAUUGGUGCGAGCGCUACACGGUUGAUGUUGCCAAAAUCUCGGUUGACAAAAGCUUUUCUGCUAAAUUGCCUCAGCUGUGGGAUGAUGAGACUCAACAACUGCAGUUGAAGAAGCUGAUGUUCCAAGGCCCGAUUCUGAGCAUGCUCAAUGACGAUUCGCUUUACAUGAUGGCCAAGGUGAAUGAUGAAGACGACACAGCCUGGGCCAUCACUAUUGAUAUGGAACAUGCAGCUCUCAAGGCACUGGCAAAGUUUUCUGUCAAACCGAAGCAACAACUCCUCACUACACUCUGCUUCUCAUGCGUCUUCCCCAAGUACCUCAACAUUCCCCCAGGGACAGAAAUGUAUGAUCCCAUGGAAAUGCACUUUAAGAGGAUGAGUUUGGCGCAGUUUGUUAUGCAAGUGCAGCAGACUCGAGAAUGGUUCAGGGAACUUGAUCUUUUCUUAGAUUGUGACUUGCCAACUUAUAAGGAAUCCAAAGCACUGCUUACGGAGUGUUGCCCAGUAUCCUCUUUGUGUGUACAUAUUCAUGCGCUACUGAAAUAUGCUACAUGCACUGAUGAAGCCUCCAAUAAUAUGCAACAUCUCUUACGAGCAUUUGAGGGUUUUGAUAUGCUGCUAACCGAGUCAUUUAAUGAGCAAGCAAGUGAUGAUACCCUGAGGAGCAAAAUCAUUGUGGCCCUUCCAAUUUUAGACAAUCUUCUGCAAAGUAUGCUACCAACAGUGACUCCUGAAGAAAGGUACCAAGGAGUAGGAAUAUUUGAACAAUAUGAGAAGUCAGGCUAUACGAAGAAGGGCCACCAGUCGUUUGGCUCUAAUGCUGAGAAGGUUCGCCACAGCAAGAAGCGAAACCAUGCCAAGAAAAAGACUCACAAGCAGCAGCGACAUAUUUUCAAGCGCAAUAACUUUGGGGGGAAUGUGGCUUUGAACCGCUGGCGGUACUUGGGCGGCUGCAUGCUGAUGUCUGUUGGUAUGUUGUUACUUUGCUGGAUGGCAUGGAAGAUCUUGCGGGAAGUGAUCUUGCAGGAGAUGCUAUCUUAGGCUGCUUUCGUCCUGCUCUUUUGCCUUCCAUAAUUGUCCCUGUGCUGAAACCACCCUACGGAAUCAUGUACAUGUUGUAGUUGUAGCCAGGUUUCAGGGCGAGUAAGUUGACCGCAGCUUGCUGCUGAACUAAACUGUACAUUACCAUAGUUACCUGCUCUUUCGGUGCAUCGUAUCUUGAAUGAUAGUUCUGGCUGUGGUUAAUGUAUGAACAUGAUGCGGCCUUUUUUCUUGACGAUCAUCUCCUUUAUUCAUUCAUAA